ACUUGUCCACGACAAGCUGACCGACAGCAAUCUCGAGGCAGGGAGAGGAAGAAAAAAAAACAAAUCAGUAAACAAUGUUGUUACGUUAUUAAUAACACCCUUUCAUUUUUUUAUAAUAAUUGCUCUCACUCUCUUCUAUGUUAUACAACAUCAAUACUUGUUAUGUUCAUUAAAGCAAAAAAAAAGGAAACACAGAGUGAGGGAAGCACGACGGAGGAGGGAGAUAAUUUGCGCUGGUGCUCUGGCAGAGCUCCGGUGCGCCACCGUGGAACUUUAACUUUUAAAAACUUUUUUACAUCAAAACAUUAG